AUUGAACGCUGGCGGCAGGCCUAACACAUGCAAGUCGAACGGUAACAGGGAUCAGCUUGCUGAUUCGCUGACGAGUGGCGGACGGGUGAGUAAUGUCUGGGAAACUGCCUGAUGGAGGGGGAUAACUACUGGAAACGGUAGCUAAUACCGCAUAACGUCGCAAGACCAAAGAGGGGGACCUUCGGGCCUCUUGCCAUCGGAUGUGCCCAGAUGGGAUUAGCUAGUAGGUGGGGUAACGGCUCACCUAGGCGACGAUCCCUAGCUGGUCUGAGAGGAUGACCAGCCACACUGGAACUGAGACACGAUCCAGACUCCUACGGGAGGCAGCAGUGGGGAAUAUUGCACAAUGGGCGCAAGCCUGAUGCAGCCAUGCCGCGUGUAUGAAGAAGGCCUUCGGGUUGUAAAGUACUUUCAGCGGGGAGGAAGGGGGUAAAGUUAAUACCUUUGCUCAUUGACGUUACCCGCAGAAGAAGCACCGGCUAACUCCGUG
rnacentral:rRNA from 1 species